AAAAAAAAAAAAAAACAAAAACAGAGAAAUAUAGAAACCUAAAACGAUGAACGAAGUCGGCUAAAAGCCAGGCAACAUCGCGUGCCAAAAAGCCACAGAGCUUUAUUGGAAUAUUUAUGCCUCUGCAAGUCAGGCAAAUAAUUAAAACGAAGCAAUGCCGCAGAGAAGAAAAAAUCCAAAUAAUUAUGAACGAAGACCUGGGAAUGACACAAAACGCAGAGAGACAGCAAAAUACUUUCAGGCUGUGAUUGAUGAUGGGUCGUGCGGAUUCGAACAGAAAUAUAUUUGUUUUAAAUUUGUUAUUCAUUUAUGUCAGGGCGGGCGAGGAAAAUGUUUGGUGGUGGACGUGGAUGGCACCUAUCGGGUUUCAUCAGUCGAGUUUGCCCCAAGGAAGGCUCCGU
ensembl:ncRNA lncRNA:CR44570 long non-coding RNA:CR44570